AACCAUAAAGCAAAGCACUGAAAAUGCUUAGAUGGGUAUUUAUACCCCAUAAACA
rnacentral:tRNA from 1 species